GUGAACGCUGGCGGCGUGUCUAAGGCAUGCAAGUCGAACGAUUUUCCUGUGAUUACAUCAAGGGAAAGUAGUGGCAAACGGGUGAGUAACACAUUGGUAACCUACCUCGAAGUCGGGAAUAACACUGCGAAAGCGGCGCUAAUACCCGAUGUGUUCAAGUGGCAUAAGUCAUUUGAAUAAAGUUACGACGCUUUGAGAGGGGCCUAUGUUUCAUCAGCUAGUUGGUAGGGUAAUGGCCUACCAAGGCUACGACGAAUAGCGGGUGUGAGAGCACGACCCGCCUCACUGGGACUGAGACACUGCCCAGACUCCUACGGGAGGCUGCAGUCGAGAAUUUUCCUCAAUGCACGAAAGUGUGAAGGAGCGACGCCGCGUGACUGAUGAAGCCCUUCGGGGUGUAAAGGUCUUUUUUUAGGGAAGAACAAAUGACGGUACCUAUAGAAUAAGGGGCUGCUAACUUCGU
rnacentral:rRNA from 1 species